rnacentral:rRNA from 1 species
GAAAAACGCAAAAGCGGGGGUGCCUAAUUUUGCAAUUCGAGCGGACAGAUGGGAGCUGUGCUCCCUGAUGUCAGCGGCGGACGGGUGAGUAACACGUGGGUAACCUGCCUGUAAGACUGGGAUAACUCCGGGAAACCGGGGCUAAUACCGGAUGCUUGAUUGAACCGCAUGGUUCAAUUAUAAAAGGUGGCUUUUAGCUACCACUUACAGAUGGACCCGCGGCGCAUUAGCUAGUUGGUGAGGUAACGGCUCACCAAGGCAACGAUGCGUAGCCGACCUGAGAGGGUGAUCGGCCACACUGGGACUGAGACACGGCCCAGACUCCUACGGGAGGCAGCAGUAGGGAAUCUUCCGCAAUGGACGAAAGUCUGACGGAGCAACGCCGCGUGAGUGAUGAAGGUUUUCGGAUCGUAAAACUCUGUUGUUAGGGAAGAACAAGUACCGUUCGAAUAGGGCGGUACCUUGACGGUACCUAACCAGAAAGCCACGGCUAACUACGUGCCAGCAGCCGCGGUAAUACGUAGGUGGCAAGCGUUGUCCGGAAUUAUUGGGGCGUAAGGCGCGCGCAGGCGGUUUCUUAAGUCUGAUGUGAACGCGCCCGGCUCACCGGGGGAGGGUCAUUGGAGACUGGGGAACUUGAGUGCAGAAGAGGAGAGUGGAAUUCCCCGUGUAGCGUUGAAUGGCGUGAGGAUGUGGAGGAACCCAGUGGCGAGGCCAAUCUCUGGUCUGUACUUGACGCUGA